rnacentral:rRNA from 1 species
GAUGAACGCUGGCGGUAUGCCUAACACAUGCAAGUCGUACGAGAGUUUUUAACUCUAGUGGCGGACGGGUGAGUAACACGUGAGAAUUUGCCUUUAGGAGGGGGACAACAAUUGGAAACGAAUGCUAAUACCCCAUAUGCUUUCGAGUGAAAUGGAUUUUAUCCGCCUAGAGAGAAGCUCGCGGCUGAUUAGCUUGUUGGUAAGGUAAGAGCUUACCAAGGCGACGAUCAGUAUCUGGUUUGAGAGGACGAUCAGACACACUGGAACUGAGACACGGUCCAGACUCCUACGGGAGGCAGCAGUGGGGAAUUUUCCGCAAUGGGCGAAAGCCUGACGGAGCAAUACCGCGUGAGGGAAGAAUGCCUAUGGGUUGUAAACCGCUUUCAGCAGGACGAAAUGACGGUACCUGCAGAAGAAGGAGCGGCCAACUACGUG